rnacentral:misc_RNA from 1 species
GAGAAGCAGAAGCAGAGGGAGGAAGAGAGAAAGGCAUUGGAGAAGCAGAAGCAGGGGGAGAGGGACGGAGAUAGAUAUGAGCGUGACCAUGAGGGGAGGAAAGGCGAAAAUGAUGUUGAAAGAGACUACAAAAGAAAAGUUGGAGAAGAUAGGUAUGAUCCAAGCAGGAGGCAGGAUGAGGAUAGGUAUGAUCCAAACAGGAGACAUGAUGAAGAUA